GAGUUUGAUCCUGGCUCAGGAUGAACGCUGGCGGCGUGCUUAACACAUGCAAGUCGAACGGGGUCACCAUUUUUGAAGCGAUUAGCUUGCUAAGAGUGGGAAAUGUUGGCGGCUUAGUGGCGGACGGGUGAGGUAACGCGUGGGUAACCUGCCAUAUACAGGGGGAUAACACUUAGAAAUAGGUGCUAAUACCGCAUAAGCGCACGGAGCUGCAUGGCUCAGUGUGAAAAACUCCGGUGGUAUAUGAUGGACCCGCGUCUGAUUAGCUUGUUGGCGGGGUAACGGCCCACCAAGGCGACGAUCAGUAGCCGGGCCUGAGAGGGGUGGACGGCCACAUUUGGGGACUGAGACACGGGCCCAAACUCCUACGGGAGGCAGCAGUGGGGAAUAUUGGACAAUGGGGGGAA
rnacentral:rRNA from 1 species